AUGCAAGAGUUCAGAUGCCAGCGUGAGGGCAUUGAUAAGAAGACAAAGCUCAGCAGCACCAGAUGUGGAUGUCGUGCAUGGCUGAGGUUGCUUAGGUCCAAUGAUUUACUAUGGUAUGUCAAGAUAUUCAAUGAACAACACAACCAUGAUCUGGUUGAGAGCUGUGGUCAGAAGAAGCAUUUGUUUUCUCAUAGACACACAGAUGAUUCUACCAAAACUAUGGUCAGGCACCUUCGUGAGAAUAAUGUUAGCCUUAGCAGAAUAAAUGGCAUAGUUGGCAGCUUCUAUGGUACAGCGGAUGGUGUUCCAUUCACGAAGAAGGCUCUGAGGACUUUGUGUUCAGACAUUGCAGCUGAAGCUCUAAAAGAUGAUGUAAGAAAAACAAUUGAGGGUUUCAGAGACAAUAUAGCUCAGGACAAUAGGUUUGUUUUCUCAAUGCAGCUGGAUGCCAAUAAAAAUCUAAGGUCUCUCAUGUGGUCCGAGCAGAGCUCUAUAUUCUCACUUCGGUGA
rnacentral:rRNA from 1 species